rnacentral:tRNA from 1 species
GCGAGCGUAGCCAAGCGGUAAGGCAUUGGAUUGUGACUCCUUCAUGCGCGGGUUCAAGUCCCGUCGUUCGCC